GGGGCGCAUUUAUUAGAUAAAAGGCUGACGUGGGCUCUGCUCGCUGAUCCGAUGAUUCAUGAUAACUCGACGGAUCGCAUGGCCUUUGUGCCGGCGACGCAUCAUCAAAAUUUCUGCCCUAUCAACUUUCGAUGGUAGGAUAGGGGCCUACCAUGGUGGUGACGGGUGACGGAGAAUUAGGGUUCGAUUCCGGAGAGGGAGCCUGAGAAACGGCUACCACAUCCAAGGAAGGCAGCAGGGGCG
rnacentral:ncRNA from 1 species